rnacentral:rRNA from 1 species
UACGUAGGUGGCGAGCGUUGUCCGGAUUCAUUGGGCGUAAAGCGCGCGUAGGCGGCUCCGCAAGUCGGCCGUGAAAUCUCCGGGCUCAACUCGGAGGGGUCGGGCGAGACUGCGGGGCUCGAGGUGGGCAGAGGGCAGUGGAAUUCCUGGUGUAGCGGUGAAAUGCGUAGAUAUCUGGAGGAAUACCGGUGGCGAAGGCGGCAUCCUGGACCAUUACUGACGCUGAGGAGCGAAAGCUAGGGGAGCAAACAGG